UACGGAGGGUGCGAGCGUUGUCCGGAAUCACUGGGCGUAAAGCGUGCGCAGGCGGUUUCGUAAGUCUGUCGUGAAAUCCCCGGGCUUAACCUGGGAAUGGCGAUGGAGACUGCGAGGCUAGAGUUUGGCAGAGGGGGGUAGAAUUCCACGUGUAGCAGUGAAAUGCGUAGAGAUGUGGAGGAACACCGAUGGCGAAGGCAGCCCCCUGGGUCAAAACUGACGCUCAUGCACGAAAGCGUGGGGAGCAAACAGG
rnacentral:rRNA from 1 species